rnacentral:rRNA from 1 species
UACCUACGGGACGCAGCAGUGAGGAAUAUUGGUCAAUGGACGAGAGUCUGAACCAGCCAAGUAGCGUGAAGGAUGACUGCCCUAUGGGUUGUAAACUUCUUUUAUAUGGGAAUAAAGUUUUCCACGUGUGGAAUUUUGUAUGUACCAUAUGAAUAAGGAUCGGCUAACUCCGUGCCAGCAGCCGCGGUAAUACGGAGGAUGCGAGCGUUAUCCGGAUUUAUUGGGUUUAAAGGGUGCGUAGGCGGUCCGUUAAGUCAGCGGUAAAAUUGCGGGGCUCAACCCCGUCGAGCCGUUGAAACUGGCAG